rnacentral:rRNA from 1 species
UACGUAGGGGGCUAGCGUUGUCCGGAAUCAUUGGGCGUAAAGAGCGUGUAGGCGGCCCGGUAAGUCCGCUGUGAAAGUCGGGGGCUCAACCCUCGAAUGCCGGUGGAUACUGUCGGGCUAGAGUGCGGAAGAGGCGAGUGGAAUUCCUGGUGUAGCGGUGAAAUGCGCAGAUAUCAGGAGGAACACCAGUGGCGAAGGCGACACGCUGGGCCGUACCUGACACUGAUGCGCGACAGCAUGGGGAGCAAACAGG